GCAGAUAUAAGCCUAAUUGGUAAGGCAGAUGAUUGCUAAUCAUCGAGUAAUCGCUUUUAGCGGUGUAUGUGUUCAAAUCACAUUAUCUGCG
rnacentral:tRNA from 1 species